GACGAACGCUGGCGGCGUGCUUAACACAUGCAAGUCGAACGGCAAGGCCCUGCUUUUGUGGGGUGCUCGAGUGGCGAACGGAUGAGUAACACGUGCGUCACCCGCCCUUGACUUUGGGAUAACUUCAGGACACUGGGUCUACUAACGCCUAGGAGCUCCUGCUGCGUGGUGGGGGUUGGAUAGUUUCGGCGGUUGGGGAUGGACUCGCGGCUUAUCAGCUUGUUGGUGGGGUAGUGGCUUACCCCGGCUGUGCCGGGUAGCCGGCCUGAGAGGGUGACCGGCCACAAUGGGCCUGAGGUACGGCCCAGACUGCUACGGGAGGCAGCAGGGGGGAGUAUUGCCCAAUGGGGGGAAGCCUGAUGCAGCAACGCCGCGUGCGGGAUGACGGCCUGGGGGGUGUAAACCGCUUUCGCCUGUGACGAAGCGUGAGUGACGGUAAUGGGUAAAGAAGCACCGGCUAACUACGUG
rnacentral:rRNA from 1 species